rnacentral:tRNA from 1 species
GGUCGAUGGCCGAGUGGUUCAGGCAUCCGUCCGGUAAACGGAAAACGCUGGUUCGAUUCCAGCUCGGAACA